rnacentral:siRNA from 1 species
UGUUGUGACCAACAUUUACCU